AAGGAUCACAUAGAUCUUAAACUGAAGAGUUUGAUCAUGGCUCAGAUUGAACGCUGGCGGCAGGCCUAACACAUGCAAGUCGAGCGGUAACAGGGGUAGCUUGCUACCCGCUGACGAGCGGCGGACGGGUGAGUAAUGCAUAGGAAUCUGCCCGAUAGUGGGGGAUAACCUGGGGAAACCCAGGCUAAUACCGCAUACGUCCUACGGGAGAAAGGGGGCUCCGGCUCCCGCUAUUGGAUGAGCCUAUGUCGGAUUAGCUAGUUGGUAAGGUAAUGGCUUACCAAGGCAACGAUCCGUA
rnacentral:rRNA from 1 species